AGCGCCUGUCUAGUAAACAGGAGAUCCUGGGUUCGAAUCCCAGCGGUGCCUACGGGACUCCGGGUGUUUCUUUUUUGCCCUAACGCAGAAGAAAAAAAAACCAACCUCAUUUUAUGCCGCCUGGAGAUGGGGAGUCCCGGAGAAGCGGGCAGGUAGGGUUAGGGUUAGGAUUGCAUUUUGAGGGGCAAGCGCCAGCUUUCGGACCGCUCCUUUUUAUUAGCCAGCUGCAUCCCGAGCCCGAGAGGGGCCCCGAACCUUGAGUCCACGGGGAUCCUCGUGCCCCGAGUCCAGAGCCCCGAGUCCAGAACCCCGAGCCAAGGCUGGCUCACUGGCUGAAAGAAUGACUCAUCUGCUCCUGCCUGGCCUUCUUUUGCCUUCAGCCCCAUCCAUCCUUGAGUGCUGAAGAGGUCACUAACAAAGGUUGGAUGUAAAGACUGUCAGUAGUUAAGUGGGAAGAGAUAAACCCGUUAUGAUUUCCAAAGUGGCUGUUCCUCUGGGCUUUUCAUGGAUACUAUACUCAGGGUUGAGCACCUUGGAGGAAGCCAGACAUCUGUGUGUGGAAGACUCAGCAUACAAGCAGCUGGCAGCAAUCCCUAGUGACCUCAAGGCAGGCAGAAUGAUUUCAUUCUUCUGACAUUGAUAACUGGAGGAGUAGCUGUGGUUAAUAGUUAUCUUAUGAAGUCUGGUGGGCUUUGAUGAAAGAAGGCAGUCUCCUGAUUAUCAAUAACCACUUAACAAAUGGGCAUUCCUGGAAAACAGAAGCACUGUCAAGGUAAGCUGUAAUUCUUCCCUUCUUGGAAAAUAUAGUCAUGUGUAUUUAGGUAUUGGAUAGCUUUAUUGGAGACUUGUUCAUAACAGUAUUUUGGAUUUUAGAAUCACCAUUUUCUUUCUAUGUCAGCUGCUAUUUGGUUCCUGAA
rnacentral:lncRNA from 1 species